ensembl:lncRNA
UCACCAUCAUGUCCAACGAUGUUGUGGACACAACCCUGGACGGCGCAACAGUAGUGUUAGAUAGAGAAGGACUACUCUCUCAGGAUAGAAGCUCCAAUGAAGAGUUUGAUGAUCGCCUUCUGUCUAUCGGACCGUGUAUUACUACUGAUGACCAUGGCACUGAGAUCAAACUUUUGGGUGGCAAGCCAACGGAUGAAGGUAUCAAUAACAUACUUGAUGAAGAGAAAGAUGUAGAACUGUACACAGGGCAGAUAAUUGAGGCUGUCACACAGGACUUACUAACAAGUGAGACUUCUUCCAGUACAUCAAAGGAGAGGGUGUUUUCUGAAUGUGACGCUAAAUUUACAUGCAAAGAAACUGCUUCAGGAACGCACCUAGAUUGUGCUCAUCCAAGGAAAUCAGUGAAUCGUAUCUUGCAGGAUAAUAAACUGCAUAGUGUUAACAAACCUAGGGAACUAUUACCCAGAAACACUCCACAACUGGCUCAUUCUGUUGCUUCCGUCUUGUAUCACAACAUAUUUGACAGUGAAUCCUCCAGACAAUCCACACAUUACUCCAGCUCUCAGAUCAGCUGUGAUGUUAGUUUGUGUGAGACCACCACGGAACAGGAACUGAAAGAAUUUACACAGCCCUUGUCAGGGUCUGCUGUUAAUCUCCUCAAAGACUUGUUUGGAGAGAAAGCCCAGAGUCUGAAAACGACUAAGGACCCAAUCCAGCUCAUCACAAACCCAACUUCGGAGACACUCUUCUUUAUGCCCCACGUCAACAAUAAAGACACAGUUGUGCACAAAAUAGCCAUUGAAGACCUGUGUGCAAUGGAUGCCAUGAAGAAUAUGAUUCCUCCUAACAACUCAAAGAGGGUUAAGACCCCAUCCGCCCCUAGGACCAAAAGUGAGAGAUUCUCUCAGCCCUCAAGUCCAACUCAUAACCUCUUACAGGCAGUUGUAGAAAAACUGGUCAAUAAAAUGACUGUUCACAGUCUCAGCAUCCCAGAGGCUUCCAAUGAGGCUGCCUGCAAACAGUUAUCAUGUUGUUCUCCAAAUGGACCUCUUUCAGAGUUUCAGCAUCAACUGAUUUCUAGGCUCUGCCCUGUGCUUGUGUCUGACAUUAUGGAAUCGCUUUCCAGUGAAAUCGUCAGCCCUGAUGAUUUAGGUGAAUCAGCUUGCCAAUCACCUGUGCAAGUUAUCGAAGAUGGAAUGGUAAGGUCUGGAAGCGCAAGUGUCGACGUCUCAAAUCAUUGUGUUCAAGAGGACACCUGUGUCCAAGAGGGCAACGGUAUAGCCAGUGAGAGAGUGACAGAUGAAUCUGUUGAUAUUCUGGAAAGGGCUGUGUAUGACAUUGAGUCUGCGAUGACUGAUGCUGCAAAACAGUCUUGCUCUAGCCUUCCAUCCAAAACAGAUGUUGUCGUAGACGUCAUCACUAAGCUGAUCUCUGAUAUUGAGUCUGGCAGUAACUCACCGACACAUCUCACGAACAUGGCAGUUGACAUGGUGGUAUCUGUGUUGGAUGAUCUAUCAGAGGAUACUAAAAUGAUUUCAAUUCCAGCAUCUCCUGACCACUUUCAUUCUCAAGUGAAAUACACCAGGCCCCCCAGUUGUAGGAUCGUAAGCAGUGUUCGCAAGGAGCUUGAGGAACAGAUUGGUUCCGCUGAUUCCCUCAAGCGAGCUCUAAACUCUGAAAGCACAGAAGUCACCAAGGCUAUCUCGAGUGCCGUUGCAAGGGAAGUCUCUACACUCCUU